rnacentral:rRNA from 1 species
CCUUCGGGAACUCUGACACAGGUGCUGCAUGGCUGUCGUCAGCUCGUGUCGUGAGAUGUUGGGUUAAGUCCGUAACGAGCGCAACCCUUGUCCUUAGUUACCAGCACGGUUAUGGUGGGCACUCUAAGGAGGACUGCCGGUGACAAACCGGAGGAAGGUGGGGAUGACGGUCAAGUCAUCAUGGCCCUUACGGCCUGGGCUACACACGUGCUACAAUGGUCGGUACAAAGGGUUGCCAAGGCCGCGAGGUGGAGCUAAUCCCAUAAAACCGAUCGUAGUCCGGAUCGCAGUCUGCAACUCGACUGCGUGAAGUCGGAAUCGCUAGUAAUCGUGAAUCAGAAUGUCACGGUGAAUACGUUCCCGGGCCUU